GGGCCACCAAACAAGUGCAAAGGACAGUGCCAGGGAUAGAAGAGGCCAGUACUCUUGUGCCCAGUGUUCUCAGGGAGAACCCAGUGCUCCUGGCUCCCUCUACCCCCUCCCAUCCCACCCAACAGAGCAGCCGAGUGGGAGGGGAUUGUUCAGGUUGAGCUGGCCCUGCAUCCAGCCCUCUUCCUCAGGCAGUGGGGUCUGACCUCACCUGGCUUUGGGACUUGGACAUAUUCACAGUACGGUUCAGUAAAGUCCUCUGGGAGCUGGCCUUCCUCUCCUCACUCAGGCCACUAAUCCUACCCCAACCCCAGGCUGGAUCUGGGGACACACAGUCAGAAGUGGCCCUACCUACGGGGAGCACACAGGUGAGUGGGGGGUCAGGCAAUGGACCCAGAUAGCUCCAGGACAAGGCAGAAAGUGCUCAGUACCCUGAGAGGGAGCAGAGAAAGGCCACUGAGGCCCAGAGGGGGAAAGAGGGCAGGGAGAGCUAUGUGGAGGUGGCAGUGUCUCGGCUAAACCUUGAGGAACGAGGACACGGAGAUGGGGGAGAAGGGCAUGCCGGGAGGAGGAAAGAGCAUGAGCCAAGGCACAGAGUGGGGAGGCUUGGGAGGGUCAGUAAAGACCAGCGCUCAUCCAUGAGAACACAGAUGCGAACGAGAGGCCCAGGUACCCUCAUCUGAACAGGCUGAUGCUCAGGAGGGGCGGCUGGUGUGGGCACGCUCACAUGGGGUUUGAAUCCUUCUGCAUUUGGGAGCUCUCUGGGGAUGGAGUAGAGCCUUGUGCAUCCCUGCCCACCCAGCCUAGCAUCUGCCUGCACGCUGCAGCCCCACCUGUUUCAGCAUGUCCCUCUUGUCAUCCCUGGGGCAGCCUUUCCAUGGGGUCUCCUGUUGCUCCCAGGUCCUUCCUUCCUCCCAGGUCCAUGUCCAAGUCCUCAAGUCAACCAAACUCAACUCCUCCAGCCUCCAGAGACAGCUGGGAGGGUGUGGUGGGGUCCCUGGAGGGAUUGAGAGGGAGACAGCUCUAGCAAAGGGGAAAAUUCUGGAGCAGUUGUCUCUCUCCACCUCACUAGAAUCACUUCCCGCCAUCAGAAGUAAAUCUGCUCUUUCCUGAGAAGAGUCUGGGUUUGGUGUGUGUAAAACACAGUUCCUUAGAACUCAGAGAAAAUCCUGACCAAAAGCUUCAGCAUUUGAGCUUCCCCCGCUCUUCACAAUCUUUA
rnacentral:lncRNA from 10 species